rnacentral:rRNA from 1 species
UACGUAGGGGGCAAGCGUUAUCCGGAUUUACUGGGUGUAAAGGGAGCGUAGACGGUCCUGCAAGCCAGAUGUGAAAGCCCGGGGCUCAACCCCGGGACUGCAUUUGGAACUGUAAGGCUAGAGUGUCGGAGAGGCAGGCGGAAUUCCUAGUGUAGCGGCGAAAUGCGUAGAUAUUGGGAGGAACACCAGUGGCGAAGGCGGCCUGCUGGACGAUGACUGACGUUGAGGCUCGAAAGCGUGGGGAGCAAACAGG